rnacentral:rRNA from 1 species
CCUACGGGUGGCAGCAGUCGAGAAUCAUUCACAAUGGGGGAAACCCUGAUGGUGCGACGCCGCGUGGGGGAAUGAAGGUCUUCGGAUUGUAAACCCCUGUCAUGUGGGAGCAAAUUAAAAAGAUAGUACCACAAGAGGAAGAGACGGCUAACUCUGUGACAGCCGCCGCGGUAAUACAGAGGUCUCAAGCGUUGUUCGGAAUCACUGGGCGUAAAGCGUGCGUAGGCUGUUUCGUAAGUCGUGUGUGAAAGGCGCGGGCUCAACCCGCGGACGGCACAUGAUACUGCGAGACUAGAGUAAGGGAGGGGGAACCGGAAUUCGCGGUGUAGCAGUGAAAUGCGUAGAUAUCGAGAGGAACACUCGUGGCGAAGGCGGGUUCCUGGACAUUAACUGACGCUGAGGCACGAAGGCCAGGGGAGCGAAAGGGAUUAGAUACCCCGGUAGUC